rnacentral:snRNA from 1 species
AUACCUUCUCGGCCUUUUGGCUAAGAUCAAGUGUAGUAUCUGUUCUAAUCAGUGUGAAAACUGGUUUUUGGCAUUUUUUGUCAAACUUUUUCACUCUCAUUUUUGGAACUCUUGGCGGACGCUAGCUUGCUAGUGUCUUCUGAGACGGUCUCCGAGGGCUUUCACCUGUCCCUCGCGAGGCCAACUACUA